rnacentral:lncRNA from 1 species
CUGGGGAGCGAUGUGACUGAUGCCUGCAUCGAAUAGUCCCUACUCAAUUAACAAGUUUUUGAACUAGGAGACAUGGAUACCAAUCAAUUUUUAGUAGUCUCCUAAGUCCUCUUUGGGAAAAUCUUUCCUAGAAUUCAGGUCGAGCUGAGGCUUACCCUAGGUGGUCCUAAAACCCCAAGGCUAAUCCAAACUAAGAGACAAAAAAAUUCCUAUUUUUCCAACUAGGAAAGAAAGAUAGG